CAGACGAACCGUUGGAAUAACGCAAAAUCGAAAUAUUAUUCAAGGAACGAAUCGAUAAAACACUAAUGUCACAAAAACUGGUGUGGCUCGAAACAGACGGCGAAUACGCGCGUGUACACUCAAAAUCGUAUUAGUGGAUGACGACGAGUGUAAUAAAAUACGUCUCGUUUGUUUUUGAUUUUGUUUUUUAUGAAUAUCAUUAACGACAUAUAAAUUCGGAAUUCUGCAGGGUGCUAAGUGAACACGAGUCGAACACAUUACAACGUUUCCCUGGAAAAGCUACAACUAUAUACAGCGGACAAACGUACUUGAAAAUCAAUC